UGACCACGGCUACAAACAAACCACAACC
rnacentral:piRNA from 1 species